rnacentral:rRNA from 1 species
UACGGAGGAUGCGAGCGUUAUCCGGAUUUAUUGGGUUUAAAGGGAGCGCAGGCGGCGUGUCAAGCAAGCGGUAAAAUAGCGGGGCUCAACCCCAUCCAGCCGUUGAAACUGGGGAUCUAGAGUGUGCGAGAGGUAUGCGGAAUUCCUAGUGUAGCGGUGAAAUGCGUAGAUAUCAGGAGGAACACCGGCGGCGAAGGCGGCUUACUGGACUGUAACUGACGUUGAGGCUCGAAGGCGUGGGGAGCAAACAGG